rnacentral:lncRNA from 1 species
CCAGCCCCGCCCUCGCCCCGCUUCCCACAUCGGCCCCAGCCCCUGCCUGGGUCCCCAUCCAGGACCCCCUUCCAGUCUCUGCCCCUGGCCUGGCCCCCAUCCCGGCCUCGGCCCUCGUUCCACCCCCUGUCACAAAUCCCAGCCCAGGCCCUGUCCCAGCCCCAUUCCCAGUGUUUGCUUAAGGCCCUGGCUCAACCCCGUCCCUUGCUGCAGUCCCCAUCACAGCCCUUCCUUCCAUCCCACUCCCUGCCCUUGUUCAAGCCCCAGUGUCCAGCCCAGCCCAACCCAUUAUCUCAGCCUUUGCCCUCAUCUCUGUGUUUACCCAAGUCUCUCCCUCUAGUCCCCCCUAUCUCUCAUACUCUGCCCCUCUCCCAGCCUAGACUCAAGUCUGGGUUUCAGCUGCCGCCAGCCCUAUUGCUGCUGUUGCUGUUCUCUGUCCUUGGCCCAGGGGCUGGAGGCCUUUUCCUGACUGAUUACUCCACCUGCUCACCCCGCAAGCUGAGUCCUUUCCGCUCCUUUGCCAGCACCGAGCUCUUCCACUUCCAUGUUCCUGAGGACACAUUCCUGGCUGUUUGGAACCUCAUCAUCUUCAAGGAGCAAGGGGGAACUUUUGGGGACCACUGCCCAGACCAAAGUGUGACUGUGGUCUCCAGGAUGAGUGUCAGUACCUCCUUCAGCCGCAGCUGAUUGUCCGGCGUUUGCUGGACGUCGCUGUGCUGGUUCCUGGCCGGCCCUCAGAGCAAACCCUCUCCCCACACAAUCGCUCAGCCCUGUACAAGGUCUUUGUGCCCAGCUUCACUUACAGGGUUUCAGCACAGCUGGUGUGUGUGGGGGGCCGUGGGGUAUCUGCCUGCCCCCUGUCACUGCGUCUGCGUCCCAAAGCCCCACCCCUGCACAACUCAAGCUCUGUGGCCUGUGGAGGUGCCUCAGGAUGCCAGCUGGAGCUGGCACUGCCCCCCUGGGGGCACUGGGUCUACGUGCGUGUGGAAACAUCAUCCCGGGGCCCUGGUAGGACCAUCCGC